CAGAUAAUUCUCAGCUAUGUGACCCUGGGCAAGUCACUAACCCCCACUGCCAAGCCCUUACCACUCUUCUGCAUUAGAACCAAUACACAGUAUUGAUACUAAGACAGAAGCUAAGGGUUUAAAAAAAUAAAAAGAGAAAAAGUAAAAUUUUAUAUAAAUAUGAAUAGCACUGAUGAAAAAAAUUUCAAGGAAUUUUUUGAUAUGAUCAACUCAGGAUCCCAAACCACCCUCAUGUUUCCAUACAGCCCCACUCCCAACAGCUAUUAUGAAUUAUUGCUGAUAUCAUAAAGCAUUUUUUCUCUAGCUCUAUGACAGCAGCAGUAGGCAGAGAGUUGAAGGAAGAUCAGUCCUGAUCAGAGGACAGUGAAAAAGAAGUAUAUUGGGGAUUUUUUGGUUUUUCAAAUAUUUGGACUUUACCUUGGGUGUUGAGAUUGUGGUAAGCUUUCCAGAUUCCAUUCUGGAAUUUUUGGAAGUUAUGAUAGAAAUUGCUGAAUCCAAACUAUCAAGAACAAUAUCUUCAAUUCACAGAUGAGGAAACUAAAAACCCAGGAGAUAGAUCAUUGAUGUGCGAUGUAACAGAUAAUAGUCAUGAGUGCACUGUGACAAUUAUGGAAAAAGAUUUGACCAUCUCCCCAAAUAAGAAGAAAAAUGAGUGGGAUUGUGAGGGAUGUAGUGACAACAAGAUGGAUGAAAUCAUUCUUGAGGAGGAAAUGGAACCUCCAAGAUGGGUUCAUAUUUCUGAGGAGACAAGCCCAGCACAUGUACAAGAAGACAUCAAUGUUCCGACUAAUUGGCCUUCUGUGACAUCAGAUAUGGAAAAAGCAUGCAUAUUUUCCCUAACUAAAGAGAAUGAUGUUGGAGUCCCCCAGGCAUAUAGUAACACUAGGAUGGAUGAAAUCAUUCUCAAGGAGGACAUGGAACCUCAAAGAUGGGCUCACAUCUCUGAGCAGACAAGCCCAGCAGAUGUACAUGAAGACAUCAGUGAUUCAACUAAUUAUGAUGGUACCUACAUUGGGAAAGUCCCCACAAAAUUUGAAGAGGACUACCAGGAGAAAAAAGUUUCCCUCCUAAAGGGUGCAGCUGGUGAUGGGGAUGAUUUUAUAUGGGAUGAUUAUGAUGGCAUUCCUGGCUGUGAAGAAAAUACAUGUUUUUUUAUGCCUUGCAAUGAAAAACAUUCCAAGCCAGCUCAACCUAUAUAUCCUAAUGGACAGAGAAGUCAUCAUCCAGGGGAGGAUGAAGGAAAGGAAGCUGAAGAAUCAUCAGACAGCAGUGAUGAAGGAGGCAUCUGGUUCACAGCACGAGUGACGACAUCAACAAGUAAUCAUCAUCAAGAGGAGGCUGAAGUUAAGGGAGCCGAAGAGUCAUCAGACAGUGGUGACGAAGGGGGCAUCUGGUUCACAGCGCGAGUGACAACAUCAACAAGUAAUGAUUAUCCAGGGGAGGCUGAAGGAAAGGGCAAUGAAGUCCCACUACACAAUGCUGACUCUACAAAUGAUGGGGGGAAAAACAGAAGGAGAAUAUUUUCUUUCUUUCGAUGCUUCCAGUGGAUCUCUAAAAAACAGAAAAAAAGCACUAGAAGAGAAGGUGGUGGUAUUGGUUGCCAAAAGGAAUGAAUCAAGAGAAAAUGUUGCAGAAGUUACAUCAGCAAGAGGAUUUUUUGUAUGCGUUUUAAAAAUCUAAAAAGUAAAAAAAAUGUCAUCAUGAAUUUAAGAUAAAAAGUUUAUCUUGAGUGUAUUUCAUACUCCAAUCAGUCAGUCAAUUCACAUUUAUUAAAGACCAACUAUGUGCCAUGCACUAUGCUAAGUGCUGGUCAUGUAAAGCAAGAGAAAAGAUAGCCCCCUACCUAAGGAAGCUCACAAUAUUAAUCUGAACACAACACACAGACAAUGAUCAAUGAGUAGGCUUUAUACAGGAAAAAUGCGAACUAGUCCACUGAGGGGAGGCACUAGAAUUAAGAGUCAUUGGGGAACAGGUUUCCUGCAGAAGGUGUGCUUUUAAGUAGGGCUUGAAGGAAGCUAGGGAAGUGUCUGGUAGGAAGAUAAGGUGAGGAGAGCAAGCAUUGCAAAAAUGGGUACAGCCAAUCAAGAAUGCGUCAGCCAGAGAGAUGGAUUGUCUUGUUUAAAGAUAUUGCAGUUGUUUGCAGUUGUUGAGGCAAAAGGAAAUUAAGGCCUUCACCAUGGUGGGUUGGGCAAUAUAGCAGAAAAGAAGAAGAGGCCAUAUUUAAGAGAUGUGGCAAAGAUCAAGUUGACUUGGCAAAAGACUAGAUUUUGGGUUGUAGUAGUGAGAUUUUGAGGAUGACAUUGUUAUGAGCAGGGGAAACUAGAAAGAUGGUGGAAUCCAGGACAAUGAUCGAGAAAUUUAGAAAGUGGAAGUGCUUAAAGAUAAUGAGUUCAUUUUUAUACAUAUUGAGUUGUAGGUGUUUACAGGACAUCAGAUGUGAGAGUAGAGGUCAGGAAAGAGUUAGAACUAGAUAUAGUUAAAAAAAAUAGAACUAGAUUUAUAGACAUAUAAGCAUUAUUGAAUUGAAUCCAAGGAAACUGAUUAGAUUACUAAACUUAAAAUAGAAGAGGGCCCAGAACAGUGCCCUGAGGGACAUGAAAAAUUAUUAAGUAUGACCUAGAUAUGACUGAUGGUGCAGCAGAAAGAGUGGUCAGAAGGAAACAGAACCAGGAAGGAAUCAAGAGCCCUCAGUAAACCUAGAACAGAGUACAGAAAAGGUUGUCAAAGGUUGCAGAGAGGUCAAGAAUGAUGAAGACUGAGAAAAAGCCAAUGGAUUUGGUCAAGAAGAUAUGCCUGAGGAGUUUAAAGAAAGUAGGUUGGUUUAAAUGAUGAAAUCAGAAACCAGACUAUAGAGAAAUAAGAAAAAAAUAGUGAAAAGAGAGGGGACAGAAGGAGUUAUAGCUUGUUCAAGGAGUUUAGACUAAAAAACACACUAGAUAUGUGACCAAAGUUAGCAAAGAUGAAUGGUUUGAGUUUUUUUGAGGAUGAGGCAUGGUUGUAGUCAGCAAGAAAGCAACCACUAGAUCAGCAGAUAUUAAAAGUAAGGAGAGAAGAGAUACUAGAGUACCUGGUGGAUUGGAGAGGACUUAUGCAUGUAGAGAGGUCUGCCUUGGCAAUCCUUGUUCAUCUUUUUAUGGGAGAUGUGAAGCACAAAGAGGAGACAGAGUGGCAGAAAGUAUCGGAGUAAAGAGGAAACUCUCAGCAAAUCAAGAAACAAGGGCUCUCCCUCAUAUUUAUGUGGGCUUAUUUUAUAAACUGAACUUUGCUAAGGUUGUGAAUUUUUUCAAUUAUUUUUAAGUUUAUUUUCUAGGAGUCGAAUAUACAUACCAUCAUAUCACCUGUGAAACAAUAGUUUUUUUUUUUCACUGCCUAUUCUAAUUCCUUCAAUUUCCUUUUCUUAUUGCUAUAAUUAGCAUUUCUAGUGUAAUACUGAAUAGUGGUGAUAAUAGGCAUCCUUGCUUCACUCCUAAUAUUACUGAAAAGUCCUCCAGCUUGUUCCCAUUACAAAUGAUUUCUACUGAUGGUUGUAGGUAGAUACACCUUAACAUUUGAAGGAAAGUUCCACACAGAAGAUCCUUUUUCACUAGUUUACUCCCAAAUAAAUUAUCAUUAUUCACCA
ensembl:lncRNA